GUCUCUUCGGGGAUGAUUAAACCGGCGCACGGGUGAGUAACACGUGAGUGACCUGCCUUUUAGACUGGAACAACUUACCGAAAGGUGAGCUAAUGCCGGAUGAGUUAUAUAAGUGCAUGUUUAUAUAGGAAAAGUUGGGGAGACCUGACGCUGAAAGAUGGACUCGCGUCCCAUUAGCUAGUUGGUAGGGUAAUGGCCUACCAAGGCGACGAUGGGUAGCCGGCCUGAGAGGGUGGCCGGCCACACUGGGACUGAGACACGGCCCAGACUCCUACGGGAGGCAGCAGUGGGGAAUUUUGCGCAAUGCUCGUAAGAGUGACGCAGCGACGCCGCGUGAAUGACGAAGGCCUUCGGGUCGUAAAGUUCUUUCGACAGGGAAGAAAAUGCCUAUAAGUAACUGUGUAUGUAUUGACGGUACCUGUAUAAGCAGCCCCGGCUAACUCCGUGCCAGCAGCCGCGGUAAUACGGAGGGGGCGAGCGUUGUUCGGAGUGACUGGGCGUAAAGAGCACGUAGGCGGUGUUGUAAGUCAUUAGUCAAAGACUAGAGCUCAACUUUAGUAAGGCUAGUGAUACUAUAAUACUAGAGUAUCAGAGAGGAUUGCAGAAUUCCUGGUGUAGCGGUGAAAUGCGUAGAUAUCAGGAGGAAUACCGUUAGCGAAGGCGGCAAUCUGGCUGGAAACUGACGCUGAGGUGCGAAAGCGUGGGUAGCAAACAGGAUUAGAUACCCUGGUAGUCCACGCUGUAAACGAUGGAUGCUAGGUGUUGGGCUUUUAAGUUCAGUGCCGUAGCAAACGCGAUAAGCAUCCCGCCUGGGGAGUACGUUUGC
rnacentral:rRNA from 1 species